UACAGAGGUCCCAAGCGUUGUUCGGAUUUACUGGGCGUAAAGGGUGCGUAGGCGGUUGGGUAAGUCUGACGUGAAAUCUCCGAGCCUAACUCGGAAACUGCGUCGGAAACUAUCCGACUAGAGGAAUGGAGGGGAGAUUGGAAUUCUCGGUGUAGCAGUGAAAUGCGUAGAUAUCGAGAGGAACACCAGUGGCGAAGGCGAAUCUCUGGACAUUUCCUGACGCUGAGGCACGAAAGCCAGGGGAGCAAACGGG
rnacentral:rRNA from 1 species